GUAUAUUUAAUAUAUACCUGUAGACGGGUUUUGCUGCAUUAUUUUUCCCCAAAACUUUGGAGCCACUUAUUCUCAUUCGCUGAAGUGUAAUAGUACUUAAACUCUGACAGCUGCCAGGGUUUUGGGCAGCAUGACUCAUUAUUAUAUUUGGCUGUUUCCCAUCAGGAGUCGCGUACCGCCUGCGGGUUACGAAGACAGGCGGGCACAAAAUUACAGACCGCCAUCUUAGAUUGACAAUCAACACACAUCCAGUCACAAAAUGGCCGACAACCAUGUAAAGAAUGAUAGAUACCUAGAUUGAUGACCACAAAAGAAAAGAGUCGUGUUUAUACUCAAACCUGUAAAUAUUUCCUGCUGGUGUUUAUGCAGAUGUUUCUUCGCCACGUUCCACCCACCGAAACGCUGCUGCAGACCGAGUGGAACAGGUUUUUACUCUGUGCUAUGAAGGCCCGAUGUCUAAUGACAAACACUGACAUCAUAAAUUUUACUGAAACAAAUAUCUCAGAAAAUCAUGAUGAAAUAUGAAAACACUCAUGUCAAAAUUUAUGCACCUCCCCAAUGGCAGCGUCCUCCACUGAACCCAGCACACUUCAAAGAAACUGACCUGAUGGCGUUCACCCGACUCUCAAACUCACAGAUCCCAGUCUGAUCUGAUGGAUCAAGGUCAGAUCAUCUGAAGCCCACUGUGUAAACUCCAGGACCCAAAGGAUCAAA
ensembl:lncRNA